rnacentral:lncRNA from 1 species
GCGAUUCAUGGGGUCACAAAGAGUCGGACACGACUGAGCAACUGAAUUGAGCUGAACUGAAGGGGACUCAUCUUCCUAGUGUCCAGUGCUGUUCUGCCCAAUAUAUGUUGAACUGCUCAUACCCCAGGGGAUCUUCCCAACCCAGGGAUUGAACCCAUGUCUUCUGCAUCAGGAUUCUUCACCAUUGAGCCACCAGGGAAGCCCAAUGAAGAUGUUAAAGGGAACAAGGACUAACAGG